AGAAGAAGGAGGGCGUGACGGUGAAGAGGACGUGGAGCGACGGGAAGCGGCGUUGGGAUAAGAAGCAUUACUGCGUGUUCUGCCGCCGGCCGCAGGUGAAGAUUGCUCGCCACCUGCUGAGGAAACACGCCGACCAACAGGAAGUGGCGACCGCCAGCACGCUGCCCACAGGCUCCAGACAGCGCCACCUGCUGCUGGAACACCUGCGCUGCAGGGGCAACUACAUGCACAACAUUGAGGUGAUCAGACAGGGCAGUGGCGAGAUCGUCCCUUGGCGUCAGCCUUCAGAGGAAGUGGAUGCGAGGAACUACCUGCCGUGCCCGCUAUGCCUCGGUUUCUUCCUGCGUGCUGACCUCUGGAAACAUCAGGCGUCCUGUCGUAGGAAGAUGACCUCUGACCCCUCCAAAGACUCCGCCCCCUCAGCAGAGACAACCUCUGACCCCGUCGUGGAGUCCACAGGUAAGCUGGACUGCGAUCCAGCAGACAAUAGAUCCUCCACAGAGGACAGACCGCCAUUAGGAGAGACCGCCACAGCAGAGCAGAUCGGCACCAAACGGCCCGCUGUGGACCAGAAUGUGACCUCUGACCCUGGUGUGGACCAGAAUGUGACCUCUGACCCCGCUGUGGACCAGAAUGUGACCUCUGACCCCGCUGUGGACCAGAAUGUGACCUCUGACCCUAGCACCGACCGGCCCAGGAAGCGCAGCAGGGUCCAGGCUGCAGCGUCCCGCCUCCUUCCGAUCUCCAGCGGUGCGUCUGAGAGCUGUAGCGAAGUCCUGCACCGCAUGAACCAGGACCACGUCUCCCACCAGGUCAAAUCUGAUUGGUUGAUCUGUAAAUAUGGAAACAAGCUGAUGGGGAACCAAGAUGGUGGCCAGAGGAGGUACGACUACGUCAGUCAGAAGCUAAGGGAGCUCGGCAGGUUCCUCCUGGCCGCCAAGUCUCUGGACUCUGGUGUCCAGACCCUCCAGGAUCUCCUGGCCCCAGGGCGCCUCAGCCUGGCUCUUGCUGCCGCCAGGAAGGCGUCUGGGUACCGCUGGAGCCGGCCCCCGCUGGCAGUGAAGACCACGCUGAAGACGGUUUGUGAAAUCGCCAUCGGAGAGAGUCUGCAGGACGGAGACUGGGAGGCUGCGGCCAAGACCACCGACUUCUACCACCUGCUGGGGAGAGAGUGGGACAGCCUGGGUCUGCUGGACCCUGACACAGAACCUCCAGAGGUAGGAGCCAAACUGAAAAAACCAUCAGUCCAACCCAGACCUGAUUGUAAAGACCAGGAUCAGAAGCUGUCUGGACCAAGACCAGAGGGUCCACCAGAGACCAGUACCCGACCAGUGACCACCCUAGAGUCCAGACUGCAGACUCCAGUCACAGUCCCAGCAGGGCCUCGGAAGGUGCGGCGCCGGCCCUGGUCGUCUGCAGAGAAGGAGGCAGUCUGGAGACAGUUGGGAGUCCAUGUCCUGGUCCAGUCAGUCCCUGGGAAGGAGGUCUGUCAGCGCUGUCUGGACCUGGAGCCAGUCCUCAGAGGCCGGCACUGGAAGGACAUCAAGAACCAGGUCCACAACCAAAUCCAGAGCCAGAAGAAGCAGCAGUUCCAUGCCCAGAUGGACCAGCAGGACCAGGAACAGCAAGACCAAAUCCAGAACCAGAAAAAGCAGCAGUACCAGACCCAGAUGGACCAGCAGGGCAAGGAUCAUAUUCAGAACCAGAAGAAGCAGCAGUACCAAGUUCAGAUAGACCACCAGGACCAAAUUCAGAACCAGAAGAAGCAGCAGUACCAGGCUCAACUGGACCACCAGGACCACCUGAUCCACAAAAAGCAGCUGUGCCAUUCUAGACUAGACCACCAGGACCACAUCCAGGUCCAUAAGAAGCAGCUGUACCAGAUGGAGACCCAGGGACUGCAGACCCCCCUGGAUCGGGACAGUUCUGUACUGACAGGUCCACUUUAUGCACCCGAUGGACCUCAUCGAGGCCCUGGACAGUCUGUGCUGGAGCGGGACCCCUCCAUCAGUCCGUACCCUCACAGGACCCUGGGGCCUCACAUGGACCAGCUGCUGUCCAGGACUGAGUGGACUGACGAGACCCUGACCCAGCACUACGUAGUCAGCAGGAACCUGAUCCAGGACCUGGCCCCGGGAGGACCGCCAGCUAAUCCUCAUUCUGGACAUGUCCACUUCUAA
rnacentral:lncRNA from 15 species